rnacentral:rRNA from 1 species
UACGGAGGAUGCAAGCGUUAUCCGGAAUGAUUGGGCGUAAAGCGUCCGCAGGUGGCUGUGUAAGUCUGCUGUUAAAGAGUCUAGCUCAACUAGAUACAAGCAGUGGAAACUACACGGCUAGAGUACGUUCGGGGCAGAGGGAAUUCCUGGUGUAGCGGUGAAAUGCGUAGAGAUCAUGAAGAACACCGGUGGCGAAGGCGCUCUGCUAGGCCGUAACUGACACUGAGGGACGAAAGCUAGGGGAGCGAACAGG